rnacentral:rRNA from 1 species
UGUGAGACUGGCGGACGGCUCAGUAUAUCAGUGAUAAUCUGUUUGAUUGUCUCUCCCAUUGGAUAACCGUGGGAAAUCUAGAGCUAAUACGUGCAGUUCAUUGGCUCGUCUUCGGGCGAGUCAAAGCAUUUAUUAGACUAAACCAUCUACUAUGCUCGCAUAGUAAGGGGAAUCUGGAUAACUUUGCUGAUCGUAUGGCCUUGUGCCGGCGACGUUUCAAUUGAGUUUCUGCCCUAUCAACUUGUUGGUAAGGUAUUGGCUUACCAAGGUUGCAACGGGUAACGGGGAAUCAGGGUUCGAUUCCGGAGAGGGAGCCUGAGAAACGGCUACCACAUCCAAGGAAGGCAACAGGCGCGCAAAUUACCCAAUCUAGACAGUAGGAGGUGGUGAAGAGAAUUACUAGGUGGUGACUCAAUGAGUUACCAGUUUGGAAUGAACGUAACUUAAGAAAUUCGAUGAGAAACAACUGGAGGGCAAGUCCUGGUGCCAGCAGCCGCGGUAAUUCCAGCUCCAGUAGUUUGCUUUAAAGUUGUUGCGUUUAAAACGCUCGUAGUUGGAUCACGCAGCAGUACCCAGUAAUCUACUGGUUGACGUUCCAUUGGAACCCACCUCGGUGGCCUUUCAGGAGCGUCGGUAGCAGAUACUAACGCUGGGCACUGUUAGUUGCACGUGAGAUGAAUUGUUGGCCUUUAUUGAGCCGGUAUUCUCGUCUUGCGGAGUGUGCCUUGAAUAAAACAGAGUGCUUAAAGCAGGUCGUUGCCUGAAUGUUAUAGCAUGGAACGAACAAUCGUGUAUAUGUGUGCAUCCUUGAUCGGUGACGAGCCUUAGGCUUGUUGUUGAUCGGGAUACAUACGGCACCCACCUAAAUAUGGCUGUUGGUUCCAUAUACGGUGAUGAUUAAAAGGAGCGGUUGGGGGCAUCGGUAUUUGGCCGCGAGAGGUGAAAUUCUUAGACCGGCCAAGGACUAACAAAUGCAAAGGCACUUGUCUAGACCGUUUCCAUUAAUCAAGAACGAAAGUGGGAGGUUCGAAGACGAUCAGAUACCGUCCUAGUUCCCACCGUAAACUAUGCCGACCUGGGAUCAGUUUAGAGAUGUUACAAGCUCUAGAUUGGUCCCCCUGGGAAACCUCAAGUUUUUCGGUUACGGGGAGAGUAUGGUCGCAAGGCUGAAACUUAAAGGAAUUGACGGAAGGGCACCACCAGGGGUGGAGCCUGCGGCUUAAUUUGACUCAACACGGGGAAACUUACCUGGUCCGGACAUCGAUAGGAUUAACAGAUCAAUAGCUCUUUUAUGAUGCGAUGAGUGGUGGUGCAUGGCCGUUCUUAGUUCGUGGAGUGAUCUGUCGGCCUAAUCGCGGUAACGAACGAGACCAUAAUCUCCAUUUAAGAGAUAGAGGCAGACGUCUGUGCGUGCAGAGUCGCAAGAUUUUGCACGUCGGAUGUUGCAGGUUGCAUUGUGCGUCCCAUUGUCAGUGUUGAGGGGCAACCUGAUGCUCUGGUGGUGGGAUGUGCUUUGUUCCCUUCUAUUGAGCAGCAGCCGGUUUCGACUGGUUGUUGCCUUAUGGAGAGACAACGAGGUAUAUACAAGCUCGAGGAAGAGUGGCUAUAACAGGUCAGUGAUGCCCUUCGAUGUUCAGGGCUGCACGCGCGCUACAAUGGUAACA